rnacentral:tRNA from 1 species
GAAAUGCAAGAUUAUAAAUUAGAGCUGCUAACUCAUAAUUUUAGUGGUUAAACUCCAUUAACAUUUCU